GCACCAGAGCCCUGCUACAGACCACAUGACCAACCAGGUGGAAGCUCAAUAUGCUUCUCUUCUCAAUGGUGAUGCUUGUCUCUAUGAAACAAUCAAAGGCCCUGAAGAACCUGAACAUGGGAGGAAUAAAGAACCAGAGGACAGCCUUUACUCCAAUGUGACGAUAGGAUCAGCUGCAGAUCAAUAAAGACAUCUGAGGACAAAACAAAUGGAAUUGGUGACAAUUUAUAUGACCACUACCCUCCUGAGAACCAAGGAAAAUAAUUUUUUUCCUAAUCAUAUUUUUUGUGAUUCCAUAUCUGUUUAAGGUUAAAAAAGAAAACAUCCUACAAUUUACACAUUUUGAUUUUUAUUUAUUUACAGCAUGUCCACUGUAGUGGACAACAGGAUCAUUUGAGUACGAAAACAGACACAUUUGUUGGAUGUGGAGUCAUUAUUUACAUGAAGAUAGUCCUGAUGUCCACUAUAAUUAACAUUCAUAAAAUGGCAAAUUUUUCAAAAGAUACAUAAUGUAGUUGCUAUCAGAACUCAAUAUAUGAUUCCUAACACCUUAAUGAACAAGAAAAUAUAUGAUUAUAACAAAACCAUAGACAAACAAGAUUUGACUCAUCUCUUAUCUUUCCAUAAAAUGUGCUUGUUCCUAUGCCGUCCAUUUUGGAUUGAAAGAUAGAGGCGGUUCCCGGGAAUUAAGAGAUUUGCACAAAAGAUUCCAAGGAGAGGAAUGAAACUCAAAUGUCCACUACAGUGGACAUAAGUCAAUGGGCUGGAUCUCAGCAGGCAGUAUUUGCAACUUAAAUAAAAAGUGUGAUUAUUGUGUGCACCUCUGCUAUUACAUAGUAUUUUGUACAGUUGACCUAAUAGCAGAUAAUUGAAAGGAAAUACAUCAUAUGGCUGUAAUCUUUUGUUGUAAUUGGUGAAAGGACUACAGAGUUUUACAUAUGAUAAUGAUAUACCAACUUGUAUCAGGUCUCUCCACACCCGUAUUCCAGCAGGUUCAGAGGAAGCUUCUUUCAUACUAUUCAUCCUGCACAUAGUAAUUCUUACUACUCUUAUAAUGUUACCACACUGCACAUAGUUGUAC